rnacentral:rRNA from 1 species
GCUUUACAUUUUAUUUAUUAGUCGGAAAAUUUAUGGUUUUUUAUUCUUGUUAGAUAAAGAUGUUUCGUUGGGGCGACGAAAAUAUAAAAUAAUAACUGUUUUAAUAUAAAAAUAUAUUUUUAUAGGGGUAUUGAUCCUUUUUAGAGAUUAAAAGAAUUAAGUU